rnacentral:misc_RNA from 1 species
AACUUUCAGCAAUGGAUCACUUGGCUCCCGCAUCGAUGAAGAACGCAGCGAAAUGCGAUAAGUAAUGUGAAUUGCAGAAUUCAGUGAAUCAUCGAAUCUUUGAACGCACCUUGCACCCUUUGGCAUUCCGAAGGGUAUGCUCGUUUGAGUGUCAUUGUACUCUCACACUCCCGAUGCUUUUGGAUUGGGAGUGGUGGACUUGGGUGUUGCUGCUUUACUGUGGCUCACCUCAAAUGGAGUAGUGCACCUCUUGGUUGGACAUAGUACGGCGUGAUAAGUGUCUUCGCCGGCGCCUCAUUAGAGGGUGGCCGAUCGGGAGCUCUGUGCUUCAAACCGUCUUCGGACAACAUCUGACAACUUGACCUCAAAUCGAGUAGGACUACCCGCUGAACUUAAGCAUAUCAAUAAGCGGAGGCU